UACGUAGGGUGCGAGCGUUGUCCGGAAUUAUUGGGCGUAAAGAGCUUGUAGGCGGUUGUCGCGUCUGCUGUGAAAUCCGGGCUCAACCCGGACUUGCAGUGGUACGGCAGACUAGAGUGUGUAGGGAGACUGGAAUCCUGGUGUAGCGGUGAAUGCGCAGAUAUCAGGAGAACACCAAUGGCGAGCAGCUCGCUGGACGUACUGACGCUGAGCGCGAAGCGUGGAGCAACAGG
rnacentral:rRNA from 1 species